GAAGGUGGAUGUUAUGUCUUCCGUUUUGUAGAGCAAGGGCAGGGGUGAGUGGCUUCAAAACCUCCAGUAUGGAGUGUUUGGCUUGGAGUAUGAGGAUUUCAACAAGGUAUUAUCUUCGUUGAACAAGGUGCAAAGUGGGCCUUGUUCCAGUGCAUUGAAGAUGAAUUUUCAGCUUGGUAUGUUACGAAAUCUGACUUCAGGAAGGAAUUAGUCCGGCCAGAAUUGACUAGCUGCUUCGGGAGGAGGAUGAUGUAGUUGUUUCUGCUCCUUAUACUGCUAACAUAUCAGAAUACCGGGUAAGUGAUUCUUUAUUCUGCGUGCAUCAAUUCAUUGAGCCCUCAUUUUGGAAUAGGAGCUGAAGUUGCAAUUUUGUUAUUCUAUAUAUUUUAAUACCAUGUGUGCUCGUGUCCGCUUUUAUUAUCAAAUCUUGUCACAAUUAUGUAGAUUUUUGUUUUGUUUUUAUGUUUUGGAGAUUACAACUGAUGUAAAGUGGGAGGUAUUUUUUACUGUUGUAUUUGUAUGAAUUAAUUUCGAAUUACUAAAUUGGUUAAAUGCUGAUUUUUUAGGCCGAAAAAUGGUU